rnacentral:misc_RNA from 1 species
UACAGGGGGGGCAAGCGUUACUCAGAUUGAUUGGGCGUAAAGGGUGCGUAGGUUGUAUAAAACCUUAAAGGUAAAAGACAAGAGCUUAACUUUUGGAACUGCUUUUAAAAGUAUUAUACUGGAGUAUAUUAAAGGGUAACAGUACUUUUAAUGGAGAGGUGGAAUUCUGAGAUAUUAAAAGGACUUCCAUUUGGCGAAAGCAGUUACCUAGAGUAAACUGACGCUGAGGCACAAAAGCAUGGGGAGCAAAGAGG